GCCAUAAAUAAUCUCAUCUUCAAUGCCUCCAUUGUUGAAUUUUUCUUGAAGAUAUAUGUUAAACCAAAAAGUUUUCCAAGAAAAUUUGUGGAGGCAAAAAGAAAAUGUCACACAAGGGCAGGCAAGUGGAGAGUGGUACAAAUUAAGGAAAUGUCGACACUUUAUAUAUAGGGAUACCGGAGGAGACAAAAGUAAAGGUGGGGACUAGAAUUAAGGGCAGCCUGCCCGAGGAGACAGUUGAUACAAAGCCACAUGGCACAUGGGUAUUGCCUCUUCUUUUUUUUUUUUUUCAAAUUUGGACAAGAGUGGCUGGCUGCCCGUUGGUUAGGACAGGUUGUCUUCGAUUUUUGUUGGUGCCAUACAGCUGUUUGCCAACUGUUUCUUGUUUGGCCUUUCUUUGAGGGCCUCCACUCCGUGAGCACCAAUUCUUCUUUAAAAAGAGGCUAUUUUUGGAAUUUUGAAACUUUCAUCACCCAAUUUUAGCAUAU
rnacentral:lncRNA from 1 species